GAUGAACGCUGGCGGUGUGCCUAAUACAUGCAAGUCGAGCGAACAGACGAUGAGCUUGCUCCUCUGACGUUAGCGGCGGACGGGUGAGUAAGACGUGGAUAACCUACCUAUAAGUCUGGGAUAACUUCGGGAAAACGGAGCCAAUACCAGCUAAUAUAUUCAACCGCAUGGAUCAAUAGUGAAUGACGGCUUUCCUGUCACUUUUAGAUGGUUCCGCGCCGCAUUAGCUAGUUGGUAAGGUAACGGCCUACCAAGGCGACGAUGCGUAGCUGACCUGAGAGGAUGAUCAGCCACACUGGAACUGAGACACGGUCCAGACUCCUACGGGAGGCAGCAGUGGGGAAUAUUCGGCAAUGGGCGAAAGCCUGACGGAGCAACACCGCGUGAGUGAAGAAGGUCUUCGGAUUGUAAAGCCCUUUUGUUAGGGAAGAAAAGCUGUAUGAGAAAACCUCGCUGUCUUGACGGUACCUAAACAGAAAGCCACGGCUAACUUCGUG
rnacentral:rRNA from 1 species